AGAGUUUGAUCAUGGCUCAGAACGAACGCUGGCGGCAUGCCUAAUACAUGCAAGUCGAACGAGACCUUCGGGUCUAGUGGCGCACGGGUGCGUAACGCGUGGGAAUCUGCCCUUGGGUUCGGGAUAACUUCGGGAAACUGAAGCUAAUACCGGAUGAUGACGAAAGUCCAAAGAUUUAUCGCCCAGGGAUGAGCCCGCGUAGGAUUAGCUAGUUGGUGGGGUAAAGGCUCACCAAGGCAACGAUCCUUAGCUGGUCUGAGAGGAUGAUCAGCCACACUGGGACUGAGACACGGCCCAGACUCCUACGGGAGGCAGCAGUAGGGAAUAUUGGACAAUGGGCGAAAGCCUGAUCCAGCAAUGCCGCGUGAGUGAUGAAGGCCUUAGGGUUGUAAAGCUCUUUUACCCGAGAUGAUAAUGACAGUAUCGGGAGAAUAAGCUCCGGCUAACUCCGUGCCAGCAGCCGCGGUAAUACGGAGGGAGCUAGCGUUGUUCGGAAUUACUGGGCGUAAAGCGCACGUAGGCGGCGAUUUAAGUCAGAGGUGAAAGCCCGGGGCUCAACCCCGGAACUGCCUUUGAGACUGGAUUGCUAGAAUCUUGGAGAGGCGAGUGGAAUUCCGAGUGUAGAGGUGAAAUUCGUAGAUAUUCGGAAGAACACCAGUGGCGAAGGCGGCUCGCUGGACAAGUAUUGACGCUGAGGUGCGAAAGCGUGGGGAGCAGACAGGAUUAGAUACCCUGGUAGUCC
rnacentral:rRNA from 1 species